UGAGUUACAAACCCCGUGUUUAAAGGUUGGU
rnacentral:piRNA from 1 species